rnacentral:lncRNA from 1 species
CUCACACAUUUUAUCUUAUAUUGACCCAAAAUAAAACCCAAAAAAAGAAAGAAAGAAAUCAUCUUCAGACUUUAAAUUUGCAGAGAGUACAGAGAUGAUGAUGGUACAUUAGUUUACUGUGCAAUUGAUAUAUCUACAUUUCGGUGGAUAUAAUCUCCAGCUCCGCCCACCACGCCGGAGACCGACUAGGCAACGCUGCUUCCGGCGUUAUUCCGGUGAUCUCUCUCAGCUUAACCACCACUUCCUUCAUUUCCACCUUCUGACUCAAACACUCUUUAACCACUUCCCACACUCUCUCCAUGACCUCCUCUUGAAAGCUUUUCAGAGUCGGGUCUGCAACGGGUUUGGUUUCUUCCUGGAGCAGAGAAUCUGGAUCCGGGAUCUUUCCGGUGAUGAUCUCUUGUAGAAGGGCGCCAAAGCUGGAUACGUUGGUCAUGGGGUCAAGUGGUGUGGAGCUGAGGAACGUAAAGUCUGAGACUUUGGCUGCGUAAUCUGUUGCCAAGUAGACUGAAGAAGAGUUGAGGUUGGUGUGAGAGAUGGGUUUAGGGUUUAGAUUGUGCAUAUGUUCCAUACAGUAAGCUAUUCCCAUUACGAUUCUCAGUCUCAUUGGCCAGUCCAAAUGCUCUGCGUCUUGGUCUGCAACAUAAUAUUACAGUUACAAGUUUAAAAAAUAGAUGGGAGGGACUGAGUCUGUUGGAAGAAGUGGCAUUACUACUACUCACCGUGCAGAUGCUCGAAGAGGGAUCCAUUAGGAGCGUAUUCGAAAACUAGCAUUCGGUUGAAUGGUUCGUCUUCAUGGCAAUAUCCGAUUACAUUGAGGAAGUUCUUGUGGUUCACUUGAGAUAACCUCUGUAUCUGCAUUGCAUGAUUUGUAUGUGUUUUAAAGAAGAGGAGAAAGAAUGCAGAAAGAGGUUUCUGAUGUUACCUUUUCUUGGAACUGUGUUUCGUGAUCCUCUGACCAGUCUUGGAGGGAUCCAGAUGCAACUGCUAGAACGGCAAUUUCAGAGCCGGUGGAGAGAGUUCCUUUGUAAAUGGUGGCGUCUGAGGAUGUGGAGCCUAUGAUGUUACUGAAAUCUUCACAGGCAGUUUCUAGUUCUGCUAGCUUCAGCUUGGGAACACCUUCAUAAGUCAUAAUAAAUACACUAAACUCACUUUCACCAAUCUCUGCUAUGUUAUUGAACUAGAGAGUAAACAUAACAGUGAUGAUACCUGUAGUAACAACAUCUUGAAGCUGGCCACUGCUCCCAGUUUCCCCCCAUGGCUUUAUCAAUUUUACCUUUUGGUUCCAGAGAAAAAAGAAGGCCACCAAUGCGGCCAUGACGCCUAAUACACCUACUAGCACUCCGACUAUUAUGUACAUCUUACUCUUAUGAGAUUUCUUUUUGUUGACAGCAUGAGGCACUUCAGAAAGCUGAGGUGGUGGAGUCUGAGCUGGUGGAGGCUGAGCUGGUGGAGGGGGAACUGGAGACGGGUUUGGGAUAACUUGGGUUUCAGUAGGAGGGCUUGCACCUAUAUUCUGCGGAGGAGGGGCAAAGAAGAAAGGAAAAUCAAUGGGGACUUCCUCCAUAGGCGAUGGAGGAGAAGGUUGAGAAGGAGGGGGAGAUAUCUGAAGCAGCCUGCGAGCGAAGGGAAAUGGUUGGCCAAAGUUGUUGUCACACAAAUCCAAGAUCUCAAGCUCCUGCAAUUCUGUUACCUCUUCAGGACUCGGAUAUGACUUACAAGAUGACAACUCUUCCAUCAUGUGAACAGACAACACCAGACCAAGAACAAUGAGAAAGCUCUCCCCAAUUAACCAGAGCUCCAAAUGGGUCUAUCUCUAUUCUCUCUUUGAAUUUCAUCAAGGCCAAUGCUGCAAAACACACAAGAGUUAAUCCAUCAAUCAAUAGUCGAAUAGACUCAGAAAGAAAGAUGAAACAAAAGUAAGUACCUUCGGUGUUGAAACAGAGACCAAAGGUGAGAUUGUGAGGAAGAAAGAAGAGGAAGAAGAAGAUGAAGAAUGCUGGUCGGAGCAAUCUCCACCGUUGAUCGGAACUCAUCCUUUUCUGUUUUGUUGGAGCAGUUCAAGUCGUCGUCCAGAAAAGAAGACAAAUCAAUGGCUGCUCCUUUUUAUAUCCCACCUUCUUCAUUUUUGAUUUGUUAUUUGUCAUUGUUUUUGAUAUAUACAAAUGUUUAACCAUAGAAACAAACAUUUACAAGUUGGAAAAAAUGUAAAUACAAUUUUAAUUUAAAUAUACACACCAUUUGCAAU